rfam:Environmental sequence ctg16312, whole genome shotgun sequence.
UACCGACCCCGAGAGGUGUCGGGAUGCGCCUGCAGAAGUCAGCAGAAGGCAUAGUAGGUUGGGGACGAAGCGGAGAGCCCGAGAAGAACUCUGACCGAAGGCC